AGUCUUACAGUACUCCUAAUAAUAUAUAAACUAAAACAAUUAUUGUCUUAAAACUAGUCCCAUUUCAAGACCAGAGCCACAACAUGGAGAAUGGAGGACCUGUCAUAGCUGAUAUUGUACUUCAGUGGUACAAAUUUGAAACAAAUUUUCGAUUAAUCAUAUUACGGUAAACCAAAUGAUGUAGAGUACACCUGGGUGUCUGGGGCCCCUGGGCAGUUGCCCGCUUUGCCUAGUUGGUAUUCCAGCCUUGAUGUUGCAUUACUCUGACAAUUUGGGUGGUUGGCUUGUUCACUGCUUUACAUGGAGUUUGAUGGAGAGUUGAUAACAAUAUUAUAUCUGCAACUGUGCUGUGUUCAGUGGACAGACUGGUCCAUGAAGUGUUAGUUUGGCACAGAGGCUGAAGGUGUCAGAUGGUAGCUAACAUUUACCAAAAGAGAUGAAAUGUAUCUGCGGGUAACUUGAAAGUUGUAUAAUUUUCUGGACAUGUUGGGUGUGCUUAGCUGGCUUGCUAACAUUAGCCAGUGGUUAGCCUACAUUCAAGAAUCACCUGGGUUUCAUUCUGAGUUGAAGGAUACGUCAACCCCUCUUCUUCACUUUGUGGACGAGACCUCUGAAGUGCUGCUGAAUGCAGUUACCUGCGCUAAUGCUAAGCUAGCUAUUGAUUGACAAAUACCCCCCAAAGUGUAGACUGGCUAGGUGUUUCACACCAAUGUCUCGUUUUCUUUUUUGACACAUUAUAUACAGAAGAUGUGAUGUGUUUUGGGGGGCUUUGGAGUUGGUUAAGGGCACCUUUGACUGAAAUGUUGCCUCCCCGCCCCCACCCUGAUGUCGUGAGCUGGUGACAGCAUGAGGAAUAGCCUACAGAUCAUCUCCUCUUGUCAUUCCUCCAAUCGAGCCCCUGCCUCUCAGCUGACUGUGUGCUUGUGUGUUGGAUGUGUGCUUAACAAGCAUCACCACACCUACAGUACAGACAGCCUGAGUUAGAGGGCUUGCAGAUAGACCUCUGAGUGCUCUCUGCCUCUUCCUCUGUAUCCAUCAGAGUCGUGAUAGAGAGCUGUGAAUUUGUCUCCUUCACUCAGAUUUAUUGAAAUGAUAUACACUCACUGUCUGCUCUUGGCACAAAUUUUAGACUGCAUUUUAAAACAAGAGCACUUUGCUGCUUGAGAGCAUAGCUACUGAGAAAUUAUUGAGGAAAUUUUGCAGAGACUUGCAGAUUUUAAACAUUAUACAAAAUAUGACAAAUAUAAUAUAUGCAGAUAGAAAUUAAUGUGUAAUGUUGUCUUGAGAA